CGGUCCUAGUGGCGAACGGUCGCGUAACACGUAAGCAACCUGCCCUGAAGUGGGGGACAACAUCCCGAAAGGGGUGCUAAUACCGCAUGUGGUCACGAGUCGGCAUCGGCUUGUGUCUAAAGAUUUAUCGCUUCAGGAUGGGCUUGCGGCCUAUCAGGUAGUUGGUGUUUGUAAUGGCCUACCAGGCAAAAGACGGGUAGCUGGUCUGAGAGGACGAUCAGCCGGAUUG
rnacentral:rRNA from 1 species